rnacentral:misc_RNA from 1 species
GUUUAAUUACAUGUAAACCUUCACGUGUUGUGCGACUUAUGCCAUCCAUAAGUACAACGAUUCAACACGAGCAGUAACUGAGACUAUCAACUAAGCUUCUAUUCACUAGGUAAUCGUCUAAAUCAACUGUAAGCUAGAAACAAUAAACUAUACAAGUUGGAACACAUUGAAUUACAUAUGACCAUAAUAUUUACAGAUAUUCCUAGUCUUCAUGUUUCUCUACAUGGGAAAGUUGAAAUUCUGAUACCCUCCUUGAUUCUGAAGACAGUUUUGAGGUGGCACCAUCUUUGUAUCCACUGCAGUGGUAAUGUCAUGUAUGCUUGACCUUUUACGUUCUUUCUUCAUCGACUGCUGUCUAAGGUAGUAUUUUUGAGCAUGAC